rnacentral:tRNA from 1 species
GCUGCGAUGGCCGAGUGGUUAAGGCGUUGGUCUUGAAAUCCAAAGGGGUCUCCCUGCGCAGGUUCGAACCCUGCUCGCAGCG